rnacentral:rRNA from 1 species
UACGGAGGGGGCUAGCGUUGCUCGGAAUUACUGGGCGUAAAGCGCGGGUAGGCGGAUGUUCAAGUCGGGGGUUAAAUCCCGGGGCUCAACCCCGGAACUGGCUCCGAUACUGGACGUCUGGAGGACGGGAGAGGCGAGUGGAAUGCAGAGUGUAGAGGUGAAAUUCGUAGAUAUUCGGCGGAACACCCGUGGCGAAGGCGGCUCGCUGGUCCGUUUCGGACGCUGAGGCGCGGAAACGUGGGGCGCAAACAUG